rnacentral:rRNA from 1 species
GAUGAACGCUAGCGGCAGGCUUAACACAUGCAAGUCGAGGGGCAGCACGUCUUCGGAUGGUGGCGACCGGCGCACGGGUGAGUAACGCGUAUGCAAUCUACCUUUUACAGGGGCAUAGCCCGGGGAAACCCGGGUUAAUAUCCUAUAGUACCAUUAUAUAGCAUUAUAUUAUGGUUAAAGUUUCGGCGGUAAAAGAUGAGCAUGCGUCCUAUUAGCUUGAUGGUAAGGUAACGGCUUACCAUGGCUAUGAUAGGUAGGGGUCCUGAGAGGGAGACCCCCCACACUGGUACUGAGACACGGACCAGACUCCCACGGGAGGCAGCAGUGAGGAAUAUUGGACAAUGGGCGCAAGCCUGAUCCAGCCAUGCCGCGUGCAGGAAGACGGCCCUAUGGGUUGUAUACUGCUUUUAUACGGGAAGAAACACCCCUUCGUGAAGGGACUUGACGGUACCGUAUGAAUAAGGAUCGGCUAACUCCGUGCCAGCAGCCGCGGUAAUACGGAGGAU